rnacentral:tRNA from 1 species
UGGUGCGAGCCGAACAUGGUGGACGGGACUCACUGUUAAUGAGUACAUGGUAGGUUCGAUUCCUACCGCAUCAGC